rnacentral:rRNA from 1 species
CAUUACUGAAUUGUCGACACGAGUUGUUGCUGGUCCUCAAAGCGGGGGCAUGUGCACGCUCUGUUUACACAUCCACUCACACCUGUGCACCCUCUGUAGUUCCGUGGCGUGGGGGACUCUGUCCUCCUGUUGUGGUCCUACGUCUUUACACACACUCUGUAACAAAGUCUCAUGGAAUGCAUGACGCGUUUAACGCAAUACAAUACAACUUUCAGCAACGGAUCUCUUGGCUCUCGCAUCGAUGAAGAACGCAGCGAAAUGCGAUAAGUAAUGUGAAUUGCAGAAUUCAGUGAAUCAUCGAAUCUUUGAACGCACCUUGCGCCCUUUGGCUAUUCCGAAGGGCAUGCCUGUUUGAGUAUCAUGAACACCUCAACUCUCAUGGUUUGCCAUGAUGAGCUUGGACUUUGGAGGUCUUGCCGGCCUGCGGUCGGCUCCUCUCAAAUGGAUCAGCUUGCCAGUGUUUGGUGGCAUCAUGGGUGUGAUAACUAUCUACGCCUGUGGUUUUCUACCAGAUAACCUUCAGUGAUGGAGGUUCGCCGGAGCUCAUAAAUGUCUCUCCUCAGUGAAGACAGCUUUUUGAACGUUUG